rnacentral:rRNA from 1 species
CGUGAGUGGCGGACGGGUGGAGUAACGACGUAGGGAACCGUAGGCCCGUUACACGGGGAGUAACAGAUGGAACAAACUAGCUAAUACCGCAUAAGCGCCCAGCCUCGCAUGAGGCAGAGUGAAAAACUAAGGUGGUAAGGGAUGGCCCUGCGUCCGAUUAGCUAGUUGGUAUGGUAACGGCAUACCAAGGCGACGAUCGGUAGCCGGCCUGAGAGGGUGGACGGCCACAUUGGGACUGAGACACGGCCCAAACUCCUACGGGAGGCAGCAG